rnacentral:rRNA from 1 species
CGUGGAGACAGGUGGUGCAUGGCUGUCGUCAGCUCGUGUCGUGAGAUGUUGGGUUAAGUCCCGCAACGAGCGCAACCCUCACCCCUUGUUGCCAUCAGGUCACGCUGGGCACUCUAGGGGAACUGCCCCGGUCAACGGGGAGGAAGGUGGGGACGACGUCGAGUCAUCAUGCCCCUUACGCCCUGGGCUACACACGUGCUACAAUGGCCGGUAUAAAGGGAUGCAAGACCGUGAGGUGGAGCUAAACCCAAGAAGCCGGUCUAAGUUCAGAUUGGAGUCUGCAACUCGACUCCAUGAAGGAGGAAUCGCUAGUAGUCGCGCAUCAGCACGGCGCGGUGAAUGCGUUCCCGGGCCUUGUACACACCGCCCGUCACACCACGAAAGCCAGCUGUACUCGAAGUCGCUGAG